GUAUAACGAUUUCUGUGUUUGUGUACCCAGGCUGCUUGGACCGAGUUAAUUGACAACAAUCAACUUUUUUUGGUUUACCUGUUAAAUUAAUCAACCCUGGAGAGGCUGAGAUAGACUAUGGCUGAGGGAACCAGGCUGUGCCAUACACAGUAAGACAGAGGGUGAAUCUAUACACUAUCAACAAUGCAGGUAUUAACAGCCUCUGGCGUGUGGUCUGAAGAUGGUUCACUUUGCCAGGAUGCACUCUCACAUCACCCAUGAGAUUUCUAUUCACCUGUAGAGGCUACCUCUGCUCUCGGGGCUGACUUGUUCCCUCCAAACUGGGAUCCUGCGAGCACUUCACUCACACUGCCACUCACCUUAAUAUCUGAUCUCUAGUGUCCUGCAAAUUCUUCUCAGUACCCUAUUAGGAUCAAGUUAUGGAAAAAAAAUCUCCUCUCGCCUUGUUUCAGACAGUGUAUAAUGGCAUACAUUUAAAAGGAAAAUUUAUAAGGAAAAAAGAAAACAUACAAAAGAAAAAAGCAUUUAUUCAAAAUACA
rnacentral:lncRNA from 1 species